rnacentral:rRNA from 1 species
CCUACGGUGGCUGCAGUGGGGAAUAUUGGACAAUGGGCGAAAGCCUGAUCCAGCCAUGCCGCGUGUGUGAAGAAGGCCUUCGGGUUGUAAAGCACUUUCAGUGGGGAAGAAAGCCUUGGGGCUAAUACCCUCGAGGAAGGACAUCACCCACAGAAGAAGCACCGGCUAACUCCGUGCCAGCAGCCGCGGUAAUACGGAGGGUGCGAGCGUUAAUCGGAAUUACUGGGCGUAAAGCGCGCGUAGGCGGUCUGAUAAGCCGGUUGUGAAAGCCCCGGGCUCGACCUGGGAACGGCAUCCGGAACUGUCAGGCUAGAGUGCAGGAGAGGAAGGUAGAAUUCCCGGUGUAGCGGUGAAAUGCGUAGAGAUCGGGAGGAAUACCAGUGGCGAAGGCGGCCUUCUGGACUGACACUGACGCUGAGGUGCGAAAGCGUGGGUAGCAAACAGGAUUAGAUACCCCAGUAGUC